GACGAACGCUGGCGGCGUGCUUAACACAUGCAAGUCGAGCGGUAAGGCCCUUUCGGGGGUACACGAGCGGCGAACGGGUGAGUAACACGUGGGUGACCUGCCCUCAGCUCUGGGAUAAGCCUGGGAAACCGGGUCUAAUACCGGAUAUGACUCCAUGACGCACGUUGUGGGGUGGAAAGCCUUGUGCGGCUGAGGAUGGGCCCGCGGCCUAUCAGCUUGUUGGUGGGGUGANGGCCUACCAAGGCGACGACGGGUAGCCGGCCUGAGAGGGCGACCGGCCACACUGGGACUGAGACACGGCCCAGACUCCUACGGGAGGCAGCAGUGGGGAAUCUUGCGCAAUGGGCGAAAGCCUGACGCAGCGACGCCGCGUGAGGGAUGACGGCCU
rnacentral:rRNA from 1 species